GAUGAACGCUGGCGGCGUGCUUAACACAUGCAAGUCGAACGAUGAAGCCCAGCUUGCUGGGUGGAUUAGUGGCGAACGGGUGAGUAACACGUGAGUAACCUGCCCUUGACUCUGGGAUAAGCCCGGGAAACUGGGUCUAAUACCGGAUAGGAGCGCCUGUCGCAUGACGGGUGCUGGAAAGAUUUUUCGGUCAUGGAUGGACUCGCGGCCUAUCAGCUUGUUGGUGAGGUAAUGGCUCACCAAGGCGACGACGGGUAGCCGGCCUGAGAGGGUGACCGGCCACACUGGGACUGAGACACGGCCCAGACUCCUACGGGAGGCAGCAGUGGGGAAUAUUGCACAAUGGGCGGAAGCCUGAUGCAGCGACGCCGCGUGAGGGAUGACGGCCUUUCGGGUUGUAAACCUCUUUCAAGUAAGGGAAGAAA
rnacentral:rRNA from 1 species